CUGGAUGUCAAGCACACAAAACGUCCAAUUUCAUUCAUUCAAUACGCCAUGAAUCUAAUCGAUUGAAACUCCCAACACUAUUUGUUUGAUUUCUUCAAUUUCAUCUCAUCAAUCCGACCACCUGCUUAGGUUUUCCUCAAAAGUACAUCAUGGCGAUGGAUUCAGUAUUAGCAAAUAUAAACUUAAAGGGGCAGCAGCAGAAGAAGGUGUGGACGAUGCAGGAUCUGGUGAAGUACCAGAACAAGUAUCAGAUGCCUAGGAAUUAUCUCCCCCUUUAAGAAACAAUUGAUCUCCUGUUUGAGACGAUUCCGGCAUGGCAUGUCAUAUCAUGAUUGAACCUAACACCAUCAUCAUCUCCCUUGUUGCUGUUGCGUAACUUUGAACCAGGAAAGGAGUUCGGGUUGAUCAAUGGCAGGUGAACUUUAGUCCUCUUAUUUGAUAGGUCCUUUGCAUAUAAAUUCUGAUGGGAAGACCCUUUUCACAAACCCUUAUUCUUGGAAUAAAUUGGCAAAUUUGCUGUUUCUUGAAUCACCAGCAGGAGUUGGUUAUUCAUAUACAAACACUACAUCAGAUCUGUAUACUUUUGGUGAUGCAAGAACAGCUGAAGAUUCAUAUGCAUUUCUUGUUAACUGGUUUGAAAGAUUCCCUCAGUACAAGCAUAGAGAUUUUUACAUUGCUAGAGAAAGUUAUGCAGGUUAAUCUUGUUACAUUUACAAUAUUUCGGCUUGCGAAAUGUUUUCUAAUGCUUGUUAAAUAACUUAAUUUAGGUCUUUGUGUUUAGCAAUUUUCUCAACUUAUUUACAGAAGAACAAAGGAGUAAAGAAUCCACCCACAAACCCCCUUUUAGACCCGGAACCAAAGGAGCAAAGGGGGGGGGGGGGGGGGGUUAUAGAAUUUGAUUGGUUUAAAGGGGGGCGCUAUAAAGCCCCUAGCCACACCCUCCACACCCUUCAAGUUAAAGGAGGGGGCUUUAAAACCCUUGUGUGACGUGGCGGUGAUAAAGCCCCUAGCCACACCCUCCAGCCUAAGUGUAAUUAUACUAGGAAAAUGUUUUUUUUUUAAUUGUUUUGGAAUAGCCAAUCGUGAAUCGACCUCUCGAAAGUUGAUUAAUCUUUCUUUUUAGUUUGUAUGCUCUGUUUUUUGUUCAGUUGCAUUCUAAUGUAACGAGGUUCAUUCUUAAUGGCCAUAAAAAAAGAGCUACAAGGGAGUCAUAAUGACUGCUAUGUCCACCUGGUUGCAGACUUCAAAGGCUCCGGAUAUGGUGCCGUUAUACAAACACCGACACUGCACCCAGGUAUGUUUUCAGCACUGAUGCCAUGGGUUUCUGGUUUCGAUUUCAAGACACGAAUAUCGAAAUUUUCGAGCACAGCGCACGUAUUCGCAUUGACGAUAGAUAAAGAUUCUGGUGAAACACACUUGAAAACGUCGAUUACUUACAAAAUGGGCGUCGCCGAUGAAGAGAAUCUGAAGAGGGGGCUGGAGAAAUCACUGAGAGUGCAGCAGCCGGAGCAGAAGAAAUUGGAACACAUAACAAUAGAGGGAAGACACUGAAUGUAAAGAAUGUGUAUUUAUAGAUACCUGGAUGGAGCGGUUUGUCAAAUGCACGCGCUACAAUUUUUGGUGAUGUUUACCCACUUCCUGAGGAUGAACAGCAGGUGAUUCAUUUUCGAACAUAUGAACCUUAUUAUUGUGUGUGUGCGUAUGUACAUAUGGACAUGUUUGCUUUUAAACCAACAAUAUGUUGAGGGUCGCUUAAAUCACUUGUACGUGAUGCAUAAACAAUAUGUUCCGGUGAAUGCCAUCUACAAGCUCAUACAUGGGGAGCACGUUUCGGUUAGGCUGCUUGUGGUUUUUUGGUUCUGUUAAUUUUAUUUGGUCAUACUGUAUUGCUUAGUUUGUCACUAGGCAUUUUCUAUUCUUUUAAUAAAGUUUUAGUUGAAACCUACUGAUGUAGUAAUAAAAAAGGAAGUCCUAAGCAAUAUGCUCCUGGUUUUAUAAAGAAUAUGGAAAGUGAUUUGCCAAUAAGGUGAUAACAAAUUCAAAUAGUAAAUGGGGCGCGACAAGAAAAGGAUAUUGGUCAACCCAAGAAACGGCCAAAUUCCUUUUCGUUAGACAGAUUAUUAUUAUUAUUAUUAUUAUUAUUAUUAUUAUUAUUAUUAUUAUUAUUAUUUAUUUUUUUUUUUUGCAUGUUUUGUGACUUCAUGUGAUCACUGAUCUACGUAAGGGUGAACGGGGUGGUGCGGGGAAGCCCCCAUUGGUUUCAGGUAAGGUAAAUUUUGCUAGACUUUAACAGCUGACACAUUCGUGGAACAAGCUACUAUUGGAAUUAUAUAUAUGUGUGUAUAUAUAUUAUCAUAACAAGGAACAGUAUAUGGGUUUUUGAGGUAUAUGAGGUUAUAAUGAUUGUCAUUCCAUUGAGGAUUGAA